AUGAACGCUGGCUACAGGCUUAACCCAUGCAAGUCGAGGGGAAACGGCAUUGAGUGCUUGCACUGAAUGGACGUCGACCGGCGCACGGGUGAGUAACGCGUAUCCAACCUUCCCGUUACUGCGGGAUAACCUGCCGAAAGGCAGACUAAUACCGCAUGUUCUUCGAUGACGGCAUCAGAUUCGAAGCAAAGAUCCGUCGGUAACGGAGGGGGAUGCGUCUGAUUAGCUAGUUGGCGGGGCGACGGCCCACCAAGGCGACGAUCAGUAGGGGUUCUGAGAGGAAGGUCCCCCACAUUGGAACUGAGACACGGUCCAAACUCCUACGGGAGGCAGCAGUGAGGAAUAUUGAUCAAUGGGCGGAAGCCUGAACCAGCCAAGUAGCGUGCAGGAUGACGGCCCUACGGGUUGUAAACUGCUUUUAUGCGGGGAUAAAGUGAGGGACGCGUCCCUUUUUGCAGGUACCGCAUGAAUAAGGACCGGCUAAUUCCGUG
rnacentral:rRNA from 1 species